GGGGAAGUGUCGGAAUUGGUAGACGAGCGUGAUUUAGGAUCACGUGCCUAUUGGCGUCCGGGUUCGAGUCCCGGCUUCCCCACCA
rnacentral:tRNA from 2 species